AACGAACGCUGGCGGCAUGCCUAACACAUGCAAGUCGAACGAGACCUUCGGGUCUAGUGGCGCACGGGUGCGUAACGCGUGGGAACCUGCCCUUAGGUUCGGAAUAACUCCCCGAAAGGGGUGCUAAUACCGGAUAAUGUCUUCGGACCAAAGAUUUAUCGCCUUUGGAUGGGCCCGCGUUGGAUUAGCUAGUUGGUAAGGUAAAAGCCUACCAAGGCGACGAUCCAUAGCUGGUCUGAGAGGAUGAUCAGCCACACUGGGACUGGGACACGGCCCAGACUCCUACGGGAGGCAGCAGUGGGGAAUAUUGGACAAUGGGCGAAAGCCUGAUCCAGCAAUGCCGCGUGAGUGAUGAAGGCCUUAGGGUUGUAAAGCUCUUUUACCCGGGAUGAUAAUGACAGUACCGGGAGAAUAAGCUCCGGCUAACUCCGU
rnacentral:rRNA from 1 species